CUGUCUCAGUUCGGAUCGGAGUCUGCAACCCGACUCCAUGAAGCUGGAUUCGCUAGUAAUCGCGCAUCAGCCACGGCGCGGUGAAUACGUUCCCGGGCCUUGUACACACCGCCCGUCAAGCCAUGGAAGCCGGGGGUGCCUGAAGUGCGCUGCCGCAAGGAGCGUCCUAGGGUAAAACCGGUGACUGGGGCUAAGUCGUAACAAGGUAAC
rnacentral:rRNA from 1 species